rnacentral:rRNA from 1 species
AUAUCAAUAAGCGGAGGAAAAGAAACCAACUGGGAUUACCUCAGUAACGGCGAGUGAAGCGGUAAUAGCUCAAAUUUGAAAUCUGGCUCUUUCACGGGUCCGAGUUGUAAUUUGUAGAGGAUGUUUCGGGCACGGCUUACUGGUUUAAGUUUCUUGGAACAGAAUGUCAUAGAGGGUGAGAGUCCCGUCUUAGAGUCGAUCUGCGCGUCCAUGUGAAACUCCUUCGACGAGUCGAGUUGUUUGGGAAUGCAGCUCAUAAAUGGGUGGUAAAUUUCAUCUAAAGCUAAAUAUUGGCCAGAGACCGAUAGCGCACAAGUAGAGUGAUCGAAAGAUGAAAAGUACUUUGAAAAGAGAGUUAAACAGUAU